AGUGUGUGUUUAAUAUUUUUUUUACUUUUUGAGUGUGAUUUUGUAUGUUUUUAACUUAACUUUUGUAUAAACAAAUAUAUGAGAAACACGAUAGAGAUCACCCCUGUAUUUGUAUAUGCAAUUAGAAUUUGUGUAUUGCAGGAAUAGCUCCCAGCUGCGUUUUUAACACUAUGCGGGACAGCUCAGCAUUCAUUGUUGUGCGUACUUUCGGGAUAAAAGUACCCUAUGUGUAAUCCAAAGUAUCAGCUACAUCAAUACCAAAUUUUAUAAAAAUUGGCAAAGCCGUUUAAGCGUUAAGAAGACACAAACAUACUAAUUUUCACCAUUAUAAUAUUACUGGGAUGGGAUGUACAAAUUGAACAGACAUAUUUUUUUUAUAUAUUGAUGAUGAUAUACAUGUAUUGUAUUGCAUAUAUAUUGAUAGGUAUCGAUCAAGAAGAUGUUAUGAUAAAUUAAACUGAGUAGAAGCAAAAGAACGCGAAUGACGAACUCAAUAUAAAGUGUUUAAAAAUGCAUUUAACAAUACUUUUCCCUGUUUUCGCUAUAUUAUGGACAUCUACAACUGCCUAUGUUAAUUGCUAUAAAUGUGAAAGUACCGUACCUAGGCAUGUUCAAAUAGAGCCGGACAGCUGUGCGGGCGGGAUGUUCAAAAUGUAUAAACCAAUGAAAGUCCCUUGUCAGUACGGAUGCCUUAAAGUUGCUGAGGAAUUCCACAAUCAAACGACGUUUGUCCGCGAUUGCUGCAAUAUGGAUCAGUCAAUGAACAUGAAUUGCUACUAUAAACUUCUACCAUCAGGCUACAUUAUGACAACCUGUACUUGCGAUGAACCCCUAUGCAACCAAGCCUUAAUGUUUAACGCCCAUAAAGCAAUCGUAAAUUUUAUCGUCAUGGUUGUUGUAAUUGCAUUCAAUUAAAAUUAUUUUGGGGACAAUAACGUAAUAAUAACUGAGCCAAAUCGAACGGUAUUUCACCGAGAUUGCUGCAAUUUGGAACACACCGCGAAUUUUGUUUGCUACUAUAGGCGUGAGCCAGCGGGGUACAUAACUGCGACUUGCUCUUGCGACGAAGAUAUGUGUAACCGCGCCUUUAUAUCUCAUGCUGAUGUAAUCGUAAAAUUUCUCAUUGGAGUUGUUGUUACUUUGGCCAAUUAAAAUUAUUAUGAAGACGCGGAAAUAAAUUAUAACAACAACCGCUAUAAAAUGUUACAAAUGCACGAGAGUCGCCGACAACAAUGCAACCAUUAAUCCUGAUUCCUGUGAAGGAGGGAAAUUUACAGAUUAUGCGCCUGAAAUCGUUGAAUGUCAACAUGGAUGCGUCAAAGCUAUCGAGGAGAGCCGGACGUUAACAUCAACGACACGUGGUUGCGCAGACGCAUCAAAUCCUAUCGGUUGCCGGACAAACGUUGAAAGUUAUAUGAAGAGUCAGUUUUGCGCUUGCAAUGAAGACUUGUGCAAUAGUGCAGUGUGUGGUGCGUCUCAUGUUAUAUCAUAUGUUAUUAUAAUUUUGGUGAAAUUAAAUAUUUUUUAGUUUCGUU